CUCUAUUUUUCAUUCCUCAAAAAUCAACAUCAAUGCCACCACCAUCGUCAUAUGCGUUACGAAUUUCAAUCCUAGGCUCCCAAUUAUCCAGUUUUCUCACAUUAGACAUUUCAUCACAUUGAUCCCCAUGAAUAUUUUUUAGUUUCAUGUCAACCCCGUCUAACUUAUUCCCCAUGUUCUCAAACAUCCUUUCAAACCUCUUCAUCAUCUUUUCCGACAUGUUGUAUGAAUUUGACUUUUUUUGACUUCUUUUUUUGACACUUUUUUCACUCAAAUUUUUUUUAACAGUACCGUACGGUGAACAGUAAAAAAAAUUUUCAACCUUUUUUGACUCACUGGAUAGAAAAUCCAAUUACAAAUUCGGCAAAACAAACAGAAGUUGUUUUGGGUACCAAAUCAGCCCAAAAACAACUUUUGAAAUUUUAACAGGAUUUAAACGGAUCAAAAACUCAACAAAAUUGACUGAUCGGAAGAACACAAAAAACAAUAAGGAAAAAAAAUAACAACUGACUCAACAAAAAUUAAAAAAAGGGACAUAACCUUGAUCUUGGUACCUUAAGUUCUGAUACCAAAUAAUGCGAACUCAAUCAAUAAGGUUACAAUCGAACCCACAAGAUAUUGAAUCGGAUCCCAAGAAUGCCCAAAUACGACCAAGGUUUAGGAUAUAAUCCCUAAACGUUGAACCAAGCAACCGAAGGUAUAUUAAACUAAUGACCUCUUGAUCACAAAGUCUUGAAAUUACACCCGGAUUGUGGAUUUGAACCAAUAAAAGAUGAA
rnacentral:lncRNA from 1 species